AGAGUUUGAUCCUGGCUCAGAACGAACGUUAGCGGCGCGCCUAACACAUGCAAGUCGCACGAGAAAGGGCUUCGGCCCCGGUACAGUGGCGCACGGGUGAGUAACACGUAGAUCAUCUCCCCUCGAGUGGUGGAUAACUCUCCGAAAGGAGAGCUAAUACAGCAUGAGACCACGGCUUCGUUGAAGCUGCGGCCAAAGCA
rnacentral:rRNA from 1 species